rnacentral:tRNA from 1 species
GGAGACGUGGGUGAGUGGCUGAAACCAACGGUUUGCUAAACCGUCGUAGGGGUACACCCCUACCGAGGGUUCGAAUCCCUCCGUCUCCG